CGGCGCCCCCAUAUUGCUCACUCCCCUCCUCGCCGAUUCUCCGAUCUACUCGCAAGCUACAGCGCAAGGUCGUGAUGGCUCCACGCGUCGCCGUGCUGCUCCUGGCCGUGGCCGUCUUCUUCGCCUCUGCCUCGGCGCAGGACUUCAUGGCGCCUUCCUCGGCCCCCGCUCCGGCCCCUGACGCCGGCGCGGCCGCCAGCGUGUCCGCUUUGGCCCUGGUCUCCUCGGCACUGGUGUCCCUUCUCGCGGCGGCGAUGAUGCAGUAGAUGGAUCGCUGCUGCUUCUGAUUGGAUGGCUGAGGGCAGAGAGUUUUUCCUUUGAGAAAUAGGCGGUGGUUUGAUGGGCGUUGCUGGCUCUGGCCUCUUUUGUUUGUUCGGCAUUCUUUUUCUAUGAUGUAUUGUAUGUCCAUAUUAUGUGCCUUGUGAAUAAAGCUUGUUGGUUGCUGUGACAAUCUUGUGUGAAGACCUUUCUAGCAAAAAGAGCUUGAUUAUAUGAGUAUGCGUUUGAAAAUUUUCUCUUUUUGGCAAGAUCAUAGUUCAGUUUUUUGCAAUGAACAAUGUCACAAGGAUUGGCAUAUAGCGGCGCCGCGAUGACUUGUUGCAUCACUGAUGGAUGUGCCACAUUUCCAUCAUCCGCUCCAUGUGGCUGGACGCAUCACGGCGAUGUAGAGGUCGGGGCAAUCCUUCUUUUCAGAAAAAAAAAAUCAUCCGCUCCGAUAAAUCUUGAAGUUAUAAUUUUGACCAUAUGUAUUUCAACAGUUUGCCAUAUGGAG
rnacentral:lncRNA from 1 species